GAUGAACGCUGGCGGCGUGCCUAAUACAUGCAAGUCGAGCGAACAGACGAGGAGCUUGCUCCUCUGACGUUAGCGGCGGACGGGUGAGUAACACGUGGAUAACCUACCUAUAAGACUGGGAUAACUUCGGGAAACCGGAGCUAAUACCGGAUAAUAUAUUGAACCGCAUGGUUCAAUAGUGAAAGACGGUUUUGCUGUCACUUAUAGAUGGAUCCGCGCCGCAUUAGCUAGUUGGUAAGGUAACGGCUUACCAAGGCAACGAUGCGUAGCCGACCUGAGAGGGUGAUCGGCCACACUGGAACUGAGACACGGACCAGACUCCUACGGGAGGCAGCAGUAGGGAAUCUUCCGCAAUGGGCGAAAGCAUGACGGAGCAACGCCGCGUGAGUGAUGAAGGUCUUCGGAUCGGAAAACUCUGUUAUGAGGGAAGAACAAAUGUGGAAGUAACUAUGCACGUCUUGACGGUACCUAAUCAGAAAGCCACGGCUAACUACGUG
rnacentral:rRNA from 1 species